AAGAGUUUCCAUCUCUCAUCUUUCGGGACUGACCUGAAAUGAAGAGAAUACUCAUUGCCGAUCACUU